GUUACUAUAAAUAAAAAUCCAUUGGAGAAAAGGAAGAGUUCAGGGUGGUGAUGGUUUCUCAUUAGCUGAGUUGCUGGGGUGAAGUCAAUUUCUGUUUGAGAUGCAAUGUGCAUUUCUUCCUGUAACUGAUGAUU